GUCUAUGGCCAUACCACCCUGAAUGAGCCCGAUCUCAUCUGAUCUCAGAAGCUAAGCAGGGUCGAGCCUGGUUAGUACUUGGAUGGGAGACCACCUGGGAAUACUGGGUGCUGUAGGCU
ensembl:rRNA 5S_rRNA 5S ribosomal RNA